ensembl:snoRNA
CGCGAGACUAGAGUCACAUUCUGACACAUCCUCAUUGUCCUGGUGUGCUAGAGUCCUCGCAGAUCAACCUUCUCUGCUUAUUCAUUGGUCGCUGCUCCAUGUUGCCCGACCAAUCACCAGCAUAGAUACACCA